rnacentral:rRNA from 1 species
AAACGGGUGGUAAUGCCGGAUGCUCCAGUUGAUCGCAUGGUCUUCUGGGAAAGCUUUCGCGGUAUGGGAUGGGGUCGCGUCCUAUCAGCUUGACGGCGGGGUAACGGCCCACCGUGGCUUCGACGGGUAGCCGGCCUGAGAGGGCGACCGGCCACAUUGGGACUGAGAUACGGCCCAGACUCCUACGGGAGGCAGCAGUGGGGAAUAUUGCACAAUGGGCGCAAGCCUGAUGCAGCGACGCCGCGUGAGGGAUGGAGGCCUUCGGGUUGUAAACCUCUUUUAUCGGGGAGCAAGCGAGAGUGAGUUUACCCGUUGAAUAAGCACCGGCUAACUACGUGCCAGCAGCCGCGGUAAUACGUAGGGUGCAAGCGUUAUCCGGAAUUAUUGGGCGUAAAGGGCUCGUAGGCGGUUCGUCGCGUCCGGUGUGAAAGUCCAUCGCUUAACGGUGGAUCCGCGCCGGGUACGGGCGGGCUUGAGUGCGGUAGGGGAGACUGGAAUUCCCGGUGUAACGGUGGAAUGUG